UGAUGACAGUGCUGUAGGGUGGUGGAGUUGAAAGUCCACCUCUGUGUUCCAGUAGAGAGUGGAGAACAAAGUCAUUUCACAGUGGAAGCCAUGAAUUCAGCAGUGGCUUGUCCUCACCUCACACACAGACAAAAUUAUGUGGAAACAUAUGUGUGAAGAACUGGAGGAGCCUGGCAGCUGCUCUCUCUAACCCAUUUGUCAUAGGAACACAAGUAACGUGGAGCAGACCGCAACAAAAUGGAGCAGCCAAUCUGCAGCUGUGGGCUGGGAUUUUAAUGGUAUCCAGUGAAACCAUCUUCGUGGCUGUCAAAUACAUGUACCUUGGAAUCGCACACCCAUACAUUUAUGGCCAGGAUCACUGUCUUUCACCAACUGGAGUCUUCUCAUUCAUCACACUAGAUUGCUUUUUUCUGCAACGACUUUUUGAAAGAAGAAAUCUGAAGAACUUCUGAAAAAAGGUAGAACUGAGAGUGAUUAUGCAUAGAAGAAAAAAGUAAUAAGAGGCAUUCAGAUGCAAUCUGGAAGUCAACAUCUUGUUCACAAACAGCACUGACUAUAGGAAAAAACAGGUUAUCGAAAGCUGAUGCUAAAAAGCAUUAUUUCUUAGAGCAUCUGGAAAAAUAUAAUAAAUGUCCCAUUUAGAAAGUGGAG
rnacentral:lncRNA from 1 species